UACGUAGGGGGCAAGCGUUGUCCGGAAUCACUGGGCGUAAAGCGUGCGUAGGCGGUUGCGUAAGUCUGGAGUGAAAGUCCAUGGCUCAACCAUGGGAUUGCUUUGGAAACUACGUAACUUGAGUACUGGAGAGGCAAGGGGAAUUCCACGUGUAGCGGUGAAAUGCGUAGAUAUGUGGAGGAAUACCAGUGGCGAAGGCGCCUUGCUGGACAGAAACUGACGCUGAGGCACGAAAGCGUGGGGAG
rnacentral:rRNA from 1 species